ACCUUCGUGGUGUAAUGGCCAGCACGCUCAACCCGUAACCGACAGGUCCGUGGUUCGAUUCCCGGCGAAGGCC
rnacentral:tRNA from 1 species